rnacentral:rRNA from 1 species
AGAGUUUGAUUCUGGCUCAGAACGAACGCUGGCAGCGUGGAUUAGGCAUGCAAGUCGAACGUGAAGCCGAUGAUCGAUCUUUCGGGAGAGUGAUUCGGUGGAAAGUGGCGAAAGGGUGAGUAACGCGUGGGUAAGCUAUCUUGAAGUUCGGGACAACCCGCCGAAAGGCAGGCUAAUACCGAAUGUGGUCUUUGGAUGCAUAUCCGGAUGAUUAAAGGUGGGGCUCCUUUGGGACCUGCCGCUUUUAGAGGUGCCCGCGUGCCAUCAGCUUGUUGGUAGGGUAACGGCCUACCAAGGCUUACGGCUAGCCGGCCUGAGAGGGUGACCGGCCACACUGGGACUGAGACACUGCCCAGACUCCUACGGGAGGCUGCAGUCGAGGAUCAUUCGCAAUGCGCGAAAGCGUGACGAUGCGACGCUGCGUGGAGGAUGAAGGCCUUCGGGUCGUAAACUCCUGUCAUGAGGGGAAAGCAAUUUCACCCCGAAUACGGGUGGAAUCCGAUGGUACCUCAAGAGGAAGCCACGGCUAACUCUGUGCCAGCAGCCGCGGUAAUACAGAGGUGGCGAGCGUUGUUCGGAUCUACUGGGCGUAAAGGGUGCGUAGGUGGUUUUGUAUGUCGGAUGUGAAAGCCCAUGGCUCAACUGUGGAAUUGCAUUCGAAACUGCGGAACUAGAGUGCAGGAUGGGAGAGCGGAAUUCUUGGUGUAGCGGUGAAAUGCGUUGAUAUCAAGAAGAACACCGGUGGCGAAGGCGGCUCUCUGGAAUGUCACUGACACUGAGGCACGAAAGCUGGGGGAGCAAACAGGAUUAGAUACCCUGGUAGUCCCAGCCGUAAACGGUGCACACUUGGUGUGGGGAGAUUUAACCCUCUCCGUGCCGGAGCUAACGCGUUAAGUGUGCCGCCUGUGAGUACGGCCGCAAGGCUAAAACUCAAAGAAAUUGACGGGGGCCCGCACAAGCGGAGUAGCAUGUGGCUUAAUUCGAUGCAACGCGAAGAACCUUACCAGGGCUUGACAUAUACCUGCACGCCCCUCGAAAGGGGGGAAGCCUUUGAGGGUGGUAUACAGGUGCUGCAUGGCUGUCGUCAGUUCGUGCUGUGAGGUGUUGGGUUAAGUCCCGUAACGAACGCAACCCUUGUGGUUAGUUGCCACCGGCGGUGAUGAGCCGCCGAGCACUCUAGCCAGACUGCCCGUACAAGCGGGAGGAAGGUGGGGAUGACGUCAAGUCAGUAUGGCCCUUACGCCCUGGGCUGCACACGUGCUACAAAGGGCGGUACAAUGGGAAGCAAUACCGCGAGGUGGAGCAAAUCCCCAAAGCCGCCCCCAGUUCAGAUUGAAGUCUGCAACUCGACUUCAUGAAGUUGGAUUCGCUAGUAACGGCGCAUCAGCUACGGCGCCGUGAAUACGUUCCCGGGCCUUGUACACACCGCCCGUCACAUCAUGAAAGCCGUCUGCACCCGAAGUCGCUGAUCCAACCCGCAAGGGAGGAAGGUGCCGAAGGUGUGGGUGGUGAUUGGGAUGAAGUCGAACAAGGUA